UUUCCGUAGGUGAACCUGCGGAAGGAUCAUUAAAGAUGAAGCAGGGAAACCGGUCCUUCUAACCCUUGACUAUCUUAAUUUGUUGCUUUGGUGGGCCGAGCAAGCACCGGCUUCGGCUGGUGCGGACCAGCCAGAGGACACAAAUUCGUAUCAAAUGUCGUCUGAGUACUAAAAACUAGUUAAAACUGUCAACAACGGAUCUCUUGGUUCUG
rnacentral:misc_RNA from 1 species